UGGGGAAUUUUCCGCAAUGGGCGAAAGCCUGACGGAGCAAUGCCGCGUGGAGGAAGAAGGCCCGUGGGUUGUAAUCUCCUUUUCUCAGAGAAGAAGUUCUGACGGUAUCUGAGGAAUAAGCAUCGGCUAACUCCGUGCCAGCAGCCGCGGUAAUACGGAGGAUGCAAGCGUUAUCCGGAAUCAUUGGGCGUAAAGCGUCUGUAGGUGGCUUGGUAAGUCUACUGUUAAAGAGUUCAGCUUAACUGGAUAUAGGCAGUAGAAACUACUAAGCUUGAGUGUGGUAGGGGCAGAGGGAAUUCCCGGUGUAGCGGUGAAAUGCGUAGAGAUCGGGAAGAACACCAACGGCGAAA
rnacentral:rRNA from 1 species